GAUGAAGAACGUAGCGAAAUGCGAUAAGUAGUGUGAAUUGCAGAAUUCAGUGAAUCAUCGAAUCUUUGAACGCACAUUGCGCCCCUUGGUAUUCCAUGGGGCAUGCCUGUUCGAGCGUCAUUUGUACCUUCAAGCUUUUCUUGGUGUUGGGUGUUUGUCCCUCGGGACUCGCCUUAAAGUCAUUGGCAGCCAGUGUUUUGGUUUUGAAGCGCAGCACAAGUCGCGAUUCAAGGCUAUCCGCCCGCUUCCACAAGCCUUUUUCACUUUUGACCUCGGAUCAGGUAGGGAUACCCGCUGAACUUAAGCAUAUCAAUAAGCGGAGGA
rnacentral:misc_RNA from 1 species